CACCAGCGCCACGAGUGGCAACCACGUUUAUUGGGCCUAAAGCGUCCGUAGCCGGCUUCGUAAAUCUCUUGUGAAAUCGUCAGGCCUAACCUGACGGCGCGCUCGAGACACUGCGUGGCUAGAGACCGGGAGGGGUCAGAGGUAUUCCUGAGGGAGCGGUAAAAUGUGAUAAUCUCAGGAGGAUCACCUAUGGCGAAGGCAUCUGACCAGAACGGUUCUGACGGUGAGGGACGAAGGCUAGGGGAGCGAU
rnacentral:rRNA from 1 species